CUGGAUUCCACUGGGGCAAGACUGGCAGGAGUAUCUGAAACCACGUGCCAAGUCAGCACAGAGUGUGCAGCUUAGGAAAUGAAAAGACCCAGCUAUUCAUGGAACCCCACUGCACACAGCUGCAUUCAGCCAAAGCGGAGCACAUGCGAACAACGGCUGCUCCAGCCCCUCUCACGGCAUGGAGGUUGCAGCAAAAAGCUGCUGAAGAGUGAGGGACUCCCACAGCCAGGGGCAGUCCUUGGCAGGGCUGAGCCUCGGUCAGACUGAGGGCGAAAAGCAGCGCAGCAAAGGAAAACAGAACGAAAGGGAACGGAUAUGAAAUAAGAUUUUCUCACUGAUUUGCGCUGGAGAUGAAUUAUGGAGCUAUUGCUGCAGAUGUAAAUGAAAGCCAAGCCAAAGGGGCAGAAGUUCUACAGGAAAACAAAUUAAAUAUGUUCUCUUCCUUGCUUUCUGCAGAGAGUGUGUCUGACUCCAGAAAGCGGCUGCAACAAGAACUGAAAAACAAACCAAGUGAAAUAAACAUGCCCUGUGCGGGGAACAGCAGCUCACAGCUGUGCAUUUAGCAACGAGUUCCCAGCUGGAACGGUACACUUCUCACCCCUGAGGGCACAGCGAGAUGUUCACAGAUCCAGCAGGACUUCCAACAGCAGCCAGCCCAGCGGCACCGCUCUGCUGUGGGACCGCUCCUUCACAGACGGACCAGAGACUUCGAGAUUGGGAAAGCAGGAAUCCCUGUGGUGCUCAGAAGCCUUGAACUCUGCAGUUCCUCCAUGUGCCACCCAGACCACUGCUCCAUAUAUCAGACAAGUCAGGUG
ensembl:lncRNA